AACUGCAGGAAGAGGUGUGACCAGGCAUCCACUAAUCACGUGAUCGUCAGAGCGGCAGACUCCUGUGGCCACCAUCUAGAGAUCGGAGAUAAAGUUUAAUCAGCCAAGUUCCACUAUUGCUCUCCGGGCCUUCUAAGAAAAAAAUUCUGCUGUCACAACGAGUCAUCUAUUUUCGCACUUACUCUUCUACCCAGGUGCCACCUUGUUAUGAAACAUGGCCACCGCACCAGUGCUGCAGCAUGUGAUCUCGC